rnacentral:rRNA from 1 species
UACGUAGGGUCCGAGCGUUGUCCGGAUUUAUUGGGCGUAAAGAGCUCGUAGGCGGCUCGGUAAGUCGGAUGUGAAAACUCGGGGCUCAACCCCGAGACGCCAUCCGAUACUGCUGUGGCUUGAGUCUGGUAGGGGAGAACGGAAUUCCUGGUGUAGUGGUGAAAUGCGCAGAUAUCAGGAGGAACACCGGUGGCGAAGGCGGUUCUCUGGGCCAGUACUGACGCUGAGGAGCGAAAGCGUGGGUAGCAAACAGG